rnacentral:rRNA from 1 species
AGCGAACGCUGGCGGCAGGCCUAACACAUGCAAGUCGAGGGGCCGUAGCAAUACGGCACCGGCAGACGGGAGAGUAACACGUGGGAACGUGCCCAUCAGUUCGGAACAACCCAGGGAAACUUGGGCUAAUACCGGAUACGCCCUUACGGGGAAAGAUUUAUCGCUGAUGGAGCGGCCCGCGGCUGAUUAGCUUGUUGGUGAGGUAACGGCUCAGCAAGGCGACGAUCAGUCGCUGGUCUGGGAGGAUGAUCAGCCUCACUGUGACUGAGACACGGCCCCGACGCCAACGGGAGGCAGCCGUGAGGAAUAUUGGACAAUGGGCUCAAGCCUGAUCCAGCCAUGCCGCGUGGAUGAUGAAGGCCCUAGGGUUGUAAAGUCCUUUCGGCGGGGAAGAUAAUGACGGUACCCGCAGAAGAAGCCCCGGCUAACUUCGUGCCAGCCGCCGCAGUAACAC